rnacentral:lncRNA from 1 species
AGGACCAGAGCAGGGGAGUGGCGGCCACUGGAGUCCGGGAGCACCGAGGGGCGAGCAAAGUUUCUCAGUCCUGCUCGCGAUCGCGGACAACCCUCCCCCUCCGUGUGUGCGCGCGUGUGUGCGAGUGCUUGUGUGCGCGCAGCGGGGAAGGGGCGGGGAGAGUGCGAGGGACCAGGAGAGGCAGCGGGGGACUCGCCGGGCUCCAGAUACGUCGAAGUGCCACCUCGGAGUCCCGGCUGCAAAGGAGCGCGUCCACACGGCGCACCGAGCAGCUGCCCCGCACCUCCGUGCCCCCAUCGCCCGCGGGGACCGCGACGGAGGGACCCACCCCACUCCAAACACAAAGCCUGGAGGAUUACAAAGUGAAACUGACCCGGGACAAUAAAAGCACAGAUCCCAGGACAAGGGCGAGGAGCGCUCGGGGGCGCUGGUGCCCGCUGACGCCCGGGGAAGAGCCCCUGGCAUGGUGAGGGGAGGGGACUCCGGGACCAAGCGCUGCCGCUGCUGUCCGACCCCCGUGGCGCUGAGGAGGAAGG